ACAAUAUCAAACCUCUUUUUGUGAUUUAUUUCCGAAGCACUGGCAUAGAUAGCUGCCUCAUGAGUAACACGUGAAAAACGAGAGCUUCAUGGGUAACGAAGCGCUUCACUCGCGAAUCGUUACCCAUGCUUUCGCAUUGUUCCUCAUGCGGACCACGAAGACCUGCAAAAUGUAAUGCCGCUAAAUCUAGCUUUUCGGGAAAAGUCGUCUACGAACAAAGAGCAGCCAUGGAAGCAAAAAAUAAAAUAAAGAAAAUAACACGGGUGCCGGGAAACGAAACUCUCCGAGAAGGGGACGUUUGUUUGCUAUAACUUUUGGAGACCGGGGACCGCUGCGGCGGGCAUAACUUUUUCAAGAAAGACACUCCUCUGACAAGGCAGCCUGUACAAUGUCAGUCAGGCCAGGCCUAACGAACACCGACCUCGGCGGCACCACUCGCGGCUCCUGCGCGUCCCUGGACUGCUCGUGUGGGGCUUUUGUGACCCGUGAGGACGCAUUUGGAUAUGCGGACUGUCCGGCCGGUUGGUGCUUGAUUUGUGGCCAUCCACCAGCACAGCACGGGACUUUAGUGAAAACAAUCUCGUUAAGGAGGCGAAUACGGCACUUAGAAGAGUGCAAUAUUCAUUGCUUGGGUCAACUUUGGCACAAAAAUACCCGGACAUGCUUUGGGACCGACCGAAACCUGGGACCAAGCUCUCAACGAGACGUCUCUGGAGUGUAUUCAUGUGCCGGUUAACAGCGAGGCGAAAGAUGAGGUACGCACGAGAAAAAAAAAGACAAGGCGCAGGCAAACAAUGGAGCGGAUCAGUAUGAUGUAGACACUCUAGCGCAGCAGUCCACCCCAGAUGCUCUCAAGGAACUGGAGGUAAAUUUGUCUUCUGGCUCUCUUAUGUGCAUUCCAGCAUUCAAUGCCUCACACCCC